AACCGGCGAGGCGGUGCGACAGGGAUGCGGGCACGCAGCUCGCGCCCCGGCAGCCGCAGACCAGCCCGGAGCGGGAAGGGGCGGUGCGCGGCCUCUGCAGAGGGUGGGCGGAGUUCCCGCGGUGGCCCCGCCCCUGGCUGGGGGCGCCCGAAGCAACCCGGCCUCGCUUGUGGGGAGCCCUACACCCGCGGCCAGUCCGCCCCUGCGGGGGAAAAUGCCGGAGUGAAACUGGAGCGAUUGCCGCCCCGCCACGUGACGGUCCCGCAUCGGCGACCUGGAAGCGGGUGAGCUGCCGCCGCCUCCAAUCUCUCCCGGCGCAGGGGGCCGGGAUGCGGCCAUGCGGCGGCGCGGGAGGCCCGAGAGCGGGGCUCACCCUCCUCAGACUCUGCGGCGGAGAGCCGAGUGAUGAAUAAAUGAGUAACCACA
rnacentral:lncRNA from 1 species